GACGAACGCUGGCGGCGCGCCUAACACAUGCAAGUCGAACGAGCGAGAGAGAGCUUGCUUUCUCAAGCGAGUGGCGAACGGGUGAGUAACGCGUGAGGAACCUGCCUCAAAGAGGGGGACAACAGUUGGAAACGACUGCUAAUACCGCAUAAGCCCACGACCCGGCAUUGGGUAGAGGGAAAAGGAGCAAUCCGCUUUGAGAUGGCCUCGCGUCCGAUUAGCUAGUUGGUGAGGUAACGGCCCACCAAGGCGACGAUCGGUAGCCGGACUGAGAGGUUGAACGGCAACAUUGGGACUGAGACACGGCCCAGACUCCUACGGGAGGCAGCAGUGGGGAAUAUUGCACAAUGGGGGAAACCCUGAUGCAGCGACGCCGCGUGGAGGAAGAAGGUCUUCGGAUUGUAAACUCCUGUUGUGGAGGAAGAUAAUGACGGUACUCAACAAGGAAGUGACGGCUAACUACGUG
rnacentral:rRNA from 1 species